rnacentral:rRNA from 1 species
GUGGGGAAUAUUGGACAAUGGGCGAAAGCCUGAUCCAGCCAUGCCGCGUGUGUGAAGAAGGUCUUCGGAUUGUAAAGCACUUUAAGUUGGGAGGAAGGGCAGUAAGUUAAUACCUUGCUGUUUUGACGUUACCAACAGAAUAAGCACCGGCUAACUUCGUGCCAGCAGCCGCGGUAAUACGAAGGGUGCAAGCGUUAAUCGGAAUUACUGGGCGUAAAGCGCGCGUAGGUGGUUUUGUAAGUUGGAGGUGAAAUCCCCGGGCUCAACCUGGGAACUGCCUCCAAAACUGAAUGACUAGAGUACGGUAGAGGGUAGUGGAAUUUCCUGUGUAGCGGUGAAAUGCGUAGAUAUAGGAAGGAACACCAGUGGCGAAGGCGACUACCUGGACUGAUACUAACACUGAGGUGCGAAAGCGUGGGGAGCAAACAGGAUUAGAAACCCGUGUAGUCC